rnacentral:rRNA from 1 species
UACGUAGGGUGCGAGCGUUAAUCGGAAUUACUGGGCGUAAAGCGUGCGCAGGCGGUUUUGUAAGCCAGAUGUGAAAUCCCCGGGCUCAACCUGGGAAUGGCAGUGGAAACUAGGGGACUGGAAUCUGGCAGAGGGGGGUGGAAUGCCGCGUGUAGCAGUGAAAUGCGUAGAGAUGCGGCGGAACACCGAUGGCGAAGGCAGCCCCCUGGGCUGAGAUUGACGCUCAGGCACGAAAGCGUGGGGAGCAAACAGG